rnacentral:lncRNA from 1 species
CCGCAUGUGGAGCAGGGAAGGAAGGAUAUCUGGUUGGGAUGCUGUGGAGAGUGAGGAGCCGGGGCAGGGAGCAGCUAGAGUCAGAACCAAGAAGUGAAUCACGGCUGGCCCUGCCCUUGAGAAGCUCACAAUCAAGUGAUGGAAACAGACAGCUACAACCCAAGAUGGAAAAUAUUCAGAAGUCAAAGGGAGCUCCAGGCAGGUGCCUUCACAGAAGGGGACUCAGGUCCUUCUAGGGAUUCAGAGAAGGCUCCUUGGAGGAAGCAGCAUCCAAACAGGACUCAUGAAGUCAGAAAAACAGUGAACAAACUCCCUUAGAUAUCCCAGAGGGUAACUCACAGGACCUAACCACCUAGAUGCUCAUUGAGCUCUUUGGAGCAUCCAAGACUGAGAACACCUGUGGCAAAUGUUCACCCAGGAAUUCCCAAACCCAAUGGCUAAUGGAACACUUUCCCCCUUGUCACUCCUAUUAGUACCCCCAGAGACUCUGUGUCCCUCAGAUCUGUGUCCUCAAAAUGGAUAAAUGAUAAAAUAGAUUUGGGAAAUGCUAGUCUGGUCCAAACUUCUUGUUUCCACAAAGAAGAAAACAAAGUUCCACAAAACAUCUCUGACCUCAAAAAUUGUGU